GGAUAAUCUGCCCUCAGGUGAGGAAUAAUCCCGGGAAACUGGGGCUAAUGCCUCAUAGGAGACGGGUGCUGGAAUGCUCUGUCUCCGAAAGGUCCGCCGCCUGAGGAUGAGUCUGCGUCCGAUUAGGUUGUUGUUGGGGUAACGGCCCAACAAGCCUUUGAUCGGUACGGGUUGUGGGAGCAAGAGCCUGGAGAUGGAUUCUGAGACAUGAAUCCAGGCCCUACGGGGCGCAGCAGGCGCGAAAACUUUACAAUGCGAGCAAUCGUGAUAAGGAAACCCUGAGUGCCUGUCAAUGCAGGCUGUUCUGGUGUCUAACACACACCAGGAGAAAGGGCGGGGCAAGACCGGUGCCAGCCGCCGCGGUAAUACCGGCUGCUCGAGUGAUAGCCACUUUUACUGGGCUUAAAGCGUUCGUAGCUUGGUCGUUAAGUCUCUGGGGAAAUCUUUUGGCUCAACCAAAAGGCGUCUCAGGGAAACUGACGAUCUUGGAACCGGGAGAGGUAAGACGUACUUCGGGGGUAGGAGUGAAAUCUUGUAAUCCCCGAGGGACGACCGAUGGCGAAGGCAUCUUACCAGAACGGCUUCGACAGUGAGGGACGAAAGCUGGGGGAGCAAACCGGAUUAGAUACCCGGGUAGUCCCAGCCGUAAACGAUGUGCGUUAGGUGUGUCAGUGACCACGAGUCGCUGAGGUGCCGAAGGGAAACCGUGAAACGCACCGCCUGGGAAGUACGGUCGCAAGGCUGAAACU
rnacentral:rRNA from 1 species